rnacentral:rRNA from 1 species
AGCGAACGCUGGCGGCAGGCUUAACACAUGCAAGUCGAGCGGCCACUUUCGGGUGUCAGCGGCGGACGGGUGAGUAACGCGUGGGAACGUGCCCUCUGGUUCGGAAUAACUCAGGGAAACUUGAGCUAAUACCGGAUACGCCCUUUUGGGGAAAGGCUUGCUGCCGGAGGAUCGGCCCGCGUCUGAUUAGCUAGUUGGUGAGGUAACGGCUCACCAAGGCGACGAUCAGUAGCUGGUCUGAGAGGAUGAUCAGCCACACUGGGACUGAGACACGGCCCAGACUCCUACGGGAGGCAGCAGUGGGGAAUAUUGGACAAUGGGCGCAAGCCUGAUCCAGCCAUGCCGCGUGAGUGAUGAAGGCCUUAGGGUUGUAAAGCUCUUUUAUCCGGGACGAUAAUGACGGUACCGGAGGAAUAAGCCCCGGCUAACUUCGU